AUGGCUGGAAGACUCAAGGGAUGGAACGGCAAACUGAUGACAAAACCAGGACGACUCGACCUAAUAAAUUCUGUGCUUACGUCCAUGGCCACCUAUUUCUUAACAAGUUUUGCAAUCGACAAAUGGACGAUAAAGAAGAUGGAAAAGAUUCAGCGCAACUUCCUAUGGAAUGGUGAUGAGGAGUGCAGUGGGGCCAAGUGCCUUGUCAGCUGGAAGAGGGUCUGCUCCCCAAAGGAUGUGGGUGGCCUUGGAAUCAAAGACAUUGCUUGCUUCAGCGGGGCGUUGCGGCUGCGUUGGGCUUGGCUAGAGUGGAGCCUCACUUCUAGGCCUUGGCAGGGCUCCCCCAUCCCAUGCGAUCGCACGGACAUGCUACUUUUCUCUGCUUGCACGAAGAUUUCACUAGGGAAUGGGCAGCGCGGCCUGGAAAGAAUUGCUUCCGAAGAUUUGCUGGAUCAACUUAUCAAGCUAUGGGAAUUGUUGCAACCCAUUGUCCUCACGAAUGUUCCUGACCCCAUCCGGUGGAAGCUCACUAAUGACGGAGGUUACUCCGUUGCGUCUGCUUACAAUGCUCACUUUGUUGGCCGGAUCGUUCAGCCAGAGUUGCACGCCUCAUGGAGGAUUAAGGUCAAGCCGAAGGUUCUGGAGUCGGCUGCCCAUAUUACGCUCUCUUGCCCUUUUGCCCGAGAGGUCUGGUUCUCCUUCCAGCAGAGCGACCCAGAGGCUGCUGUUGUUGGUUCAACUUCGAUGACAAUCAAAGGCUGGUGGAAACGGACCUGGAACCUGCACAACAACUCGAUUUUUUGCAUGCAAAUCACAUCGGCUGCUUACGUUGCUUGGAAUCUUUGGAAAGAAAGGAAUAGGCGAACUUUUGAAGGAAAGAGAUGCUCACCUGAAACAGUUGCUGCUUUGGCCAGACACGAGAUUGCUUUGUUCAAGGAGGCUAAUGCUUAG
rnacentral:rRNA from 1 species